rfam:Cucumis melo, WGS project CAJI01000000 data, contig: 27618
GUCCCUCUGGGAACAUCCAAUAAAAUUGGAACGAUCAGAGAAGAUUAGCAUGGUCCCUGUGCAAGGAUGACACGUACUAAUUGAGAAAUGGUUCCGAAAUUU